GCCGGGCAUGGUGGCACAUGCCUGUAAUCCCAGCUACUAGGGAGGCUGAGACAGGAGAAUUACUUGAAUCCAGGAGGCGGAGGUUGCAGUGAACUGAGAUUGCACCACUGCAGUCCAGCCUGGGAAACAGAGUAAGACUCUGUCUCAA
rnacentral:SRP_RNA from 2 species